rnacentral:rRNA from 1 species
GACGAACGCUGGCGGCGUGCUUAACACAUGCAAGUCGAACGGAAAGGCCCUGCUUUUGUGGGGUGCUCGAGUGGCGAACGGGUGAGUAACACGUGAGUAACCUGCCCUAGACUUUGGGAUAACUGCAGGAAACUGGGGCUAAUACCGGAUAGGAGCUCCUGCUGCAUGGUGGGGGUUGGAAAGUUUCGGCGGUUGGGGAUGGACUCGCGGCUUAUCAGCUUGUUGGUGGGGUAGUGGCUUACCAAGGCGUUGACGGGUAGCCGGCCUGAGAGGGUGACCGGCCACAUUGGGACUGAGAUACGGCCCAGACGCCUACGGGAGGCAGCAGUGGGGAAUAUUGCACAAUGGGCGGAAGCCUGAUGCAGCAACGCCGCGUGCGGGAUGACGGCCUUCGGGUUGUAAACCGCUUUCGCCUGUGACGAAGCGUGAGUGACGGUAAUGGGUAAAGAAGCACCGGCUAACUACGUG